AUACGUAGGGAGCGAGCGUUGUCCGGAAUUACUGGGUGUAAAGGGAGCGUAGGCGGGAGUGCAAGUCAGAUGUGAAAUACAUGGGCUCAACCCAUGGGCUGCAUUUGAAACUGCAUUUCUUGAGUGAAGUAGCGGUAAGCGGAAUUCCUGGUGUAGCGGUGAAAUGCGUAGAUAUCAGGAGGAACACCGGUGGCGAAGGCGGCUUACUGGGCUUUUACUGACGCUGAGGCUCGAAAGCGUGGGGAGCAAACAGGAUUAAAUACCCUGGUAGUCCACGCUGUAAACGAUGAUUACUAGGUGUGGGGGGACUGACCCCUUCCGUGUCGCAGUUAACACAAUAAGUAAUCCACCUGGGGAGUACGGCCGCAAGGUUGAAACUCAAAUGAAUUGACGGGG
rnacentral:rRNA from 1 species